CAUAUGCCCUCCCUCACUUAGGUUUCAAUGAUUUUUUUACAUUUCUUACAUGGCAUAUUAAAUAAUGAAAUCAAACUUUUAUCGGCCUUAAGUUUGAUGCAUCCAUCAUUCCAUUUUCUCAGAUCUUCAACGCAUGUCUCUCUUCUUUGCCUUCUAAGGUUUGUCACCGUUGUUCCAUCGUAUUGAAUGUAUUGAAUCGCCAAGUGGUUAAAGUAAAUAUUGUUCCCAAUUUCGAUUGGAUUUGGGGAUCUGAGAUUGAAGGUUGAUUGCAUUUCUAGGGCUUUAUUCAUGGUUUUCUUAAUUCUUUAACCUAAUCGAAUCUGUUCUUCACUCAAAUCACAAUCGUUUCUCAGUCACAUCCCUAAUCGUUACCGGGUAAGUGUUCUUCGUUUUCUAUUCUAUUUUGCAUUGUAUUUGUGUUUGACAGGGUUGAAGCUUACGGGUACCCUUAUCCCGCAUAUCUAAGUUCCCCCUUUUUCUGCUUUUAAACAGUUUUCAGUUGAGAAAGAUUCUGGCACUCAGCUUAAGGAUAUUCCAAAUGGUAUGUGUUUAUGAUUUUUUUAGUGCUUAAUUUAUGUUAAGUUGUAAAUAUAGAGUUGAAGUUAAUUAUUACACAUUGAGGAACUUUAGUUGUAUUGUUUAAACUUCUCAGCUUCUUCAGAUUGGAAAUUGAGGUAAAUCAUAAGUUAUAAUAUAACAGUUAGUAAGUUCUUUUUUUUUUUUU